GACGAACGCUGGCGGCGUGCCUAAUACAUGCAAGUCGAGCGAAUCUGAUGGGAGCUUGCUCCUUGAUGAUUAGCGGCGGACGGGUGAGUAACACGUGGGUAACCUGCCUGUAAGACUGGGAUAACUCCGGGAAACCGGGGCUAAUACCGGAUAACUUUUUUCUUCGCAUGAGGGAGAAUUGAAAGAUGGCUUCGGCUAUCACUUACAGAUGUACCCGCGGCGCAUUAGCUAGUUGGUGAGGUAACGGCUCACCAAGGCGACGAUGCGUAGCCGACUUGAGAGGGUGAUCGGCCACACUGGGACUGAGACACGGCCCAGACUCCUACGGGAGGCAGCAGGAGGGAAUCUUCCGCAAUGGACGAAAGUCUGACGGAGCAACGCCGCGUGAGUGAUGAAGGUUUUCGGAUCGUAAAACUCGGUUGUUAGGGAAGAACAAGUAUCGUUCGAAUAGGGCGGUACCUUGACGGUACCUAACCAGAAAGCCACGGCUAACUACGUG
rnacentral:rRNA from 1 species